rnacentral:rRNA from 1 species
GAAGUUUUCAUUCCAAAGCUCGUCCUUGUGGCGUGGCUGGGUUUGGGCUUCUUCGCUUUGGAUAGUGGGCAACCGCUUCCAAUUAUUUACUUUGAAAAAAUUAGAGUGUUCAAAGCAGGCGUAACCUUGCCAUUGAAUAUUACAGCAUGGGAUAAUAGAAUAUGACGUUGGUCUUAUUUUGUUGGUUUCUAAGGCUGAUGUA